ACUCAAAUGAAUUGACGGGGGCCCGCACAAGCGGUGGAGCAUGUGGUUUAAUUCGACGCAACGCGAAGAACCUUACCUACCCUUGACAUCCUCGGAACCUGCUAGAGAUAGUGGGGUGCCUUCGGGAACCGAGAGACAGGUGCUGCAUGGCUGUCGUCAGCUCGUGUCGUGAGAUGUUGGGUUAAGUCCCGUAACGAGCGCAACCCCUAUUCUUAGUUGCCAUCAGGUUAAGCUGGGAACUCUAAGAAGACUGCCGGUGACAAGCCGGAGGAAGGUGGGGAUGACGUCAAGUCCUCAUGGCCCUUACGGGUAGGGCCACACACGUGCUACAAUGGACGGUACAAAGGGCAGCAAAGCCGCAAGGUGGAGCAAAUCCCAUCAAAGCCGUUCGUAGUCCGGAUUGGAGUCUGCAACUCGACUCCAUGAAGUUGGAAUCGCUAGUAAUCGUGGAUCAGAAUGCCGCGGUGAAUACGUUCCCGGGCCUUGUACACACCGCCCGU
rnacentral:rRNA from 1 species